UACGAAGGGGGCUAGCGUUGCUCGGAAUUACUGGGCGUAAAGGGAGCGUAGGCGGACAUUUAAGUCAGAGGUGAAAUCCCGGAGCUUAACUUCGGAACUGCCUUUGAUACUGGGUGUCUUGAGUGUGAGAGAGGUAUGUGGAACUCCGAGUGUAGAGGUGAAAUUCGUAGAUAUUCGGAAGAACACCAGUGGCGAAGGCGACAUACUGGCUCAUUACUGACGCUGAGGCUCGAAAGCGUGGGGAGCAAACGGG
rnacentral:rRNA from 1 species